GGCGGGGGUGGGGAGCCGGGACUGCGGUGGAGCGGUGGAGGGCGUCUCUGGGCUUCGGCGUCUGGCAAGGGGUUCAGCUGUCUGCUCCCUGGCAGCCGGCCUUCGGGUCGGCCGUCUCCGUCGGUGACUGCAGCUUGAGUUUUGCCGGUGUGGCCACGAGUCGGCACAACAUUCUGAAAUUUUUUGGUUAUUGUAAUGAUUUCGAUCGGGAGUUGAGAAAAUGCCUGAAGAAUGAGUACGUAGAAAACAGGACCAAGAGCAGGGAGCAUGGCAUUGCAAUGCGAAAGAAACUUUUUAAUCCUCCAGAGGAAUCCGAAAAAUAAAUUGUAUUUUCACUCGAUGCCUUGGCUGAGAGAAGACCUAAAGACUCUGGGUUGAUACCUGAAAGAAUCCUGUCUUAUUUGGUUUCCAUAAUCCUUUGAAUGGAAAGUGACCUGUGAGAGAUUGAACCGUGGAGAAAUAUGAAAACCCUGGAUUCUGAGUAUUUGUUGGGCAGGGCGUUUAGUACCGUCUCCCCUUUACCAGCAAACCUGACUUCACCAUGUUUAUUCCCUUUGCCUAUAACCAGUUAAUAUCUGAGUAACUUAUCUCCCUCAAUAAAAUAAUUCAUUUAAAU
rnacentral:sRNA from 1 species